AGAGUUUGAUCAUGGCUCAGAACGAACGCUGGCGGCGUGGAUAAGACAUGCAAGUCGAACGGGAUAACAUCUGUAGCAAUACAGGUGUUAUUUAGUGGCGAACGGGUGCGUAACACGUGGGCAAUCUGCCGAGAAGUGGGGGAUAGCUCGCCGAAAGGCGAAUUAAUACCGCAUAUGAUCAGGGAGGACAUCCUCUCGACAUCAAAGCCGGGGCAACCUGGCGCUACUCGAUGAGCCCGCGGCCUAUCAGCUAGUUGGUGAGGUAACGGCUCACCAAGGCGAUGACGGGUAGCUGGUCUGAGAGGACGACCAGCCACACUGGAACUGAGACACGGUCCAGACACCUACGGGUGGCAGCAGUCGAGAAUUUUUCUCAAUGGGGGCAACCCUGAAGGAGCGACGCCGCGUGGAGGAUGAAGGCUUUCGGGUUGUAAACUCCUGUCAUUUGGGAACAAGGUGCAUCGAUUAACUGUCGAUGCAUUGAUAGUACCAGAAGAGGAAGAGACGGCUAACUCUGUGCCAGCAGCCGCGGUAAUACAGAGGUCUCAAGCGUUGUUCGGAUUCAUUGGGCGUAAAGGGUGCGUAGGUGGCGGGGUAAGUCAGGUGUGAAAUUUCGGAGCUUAACUCCGAAACUGCAUUUGAUACUGCCUUGCUUGAGGACUGGAGAGGAGACUGGAAUUCACGGUGUAGCAGUGAAAUGCGUAGAUAUCGUGAGGAAGACCAGUGGCGAAGGCGGGUCUCUGGACAGUUCCUGACACUGAGGCACGAAGGCCAGGGGAGCAAACGGGAUUAGAUACCCUAGUAGUCC
rnacentral:rRNA from 1 species